CGGCCUCAUUGGCCCCCUUGUGAGGAAAUCAAAAGUUUUUUGGGUUCCCGGGGGGGAGUAUGGGUCCCAAGGCUGGAAACUUAAAAGGGAAUUGGCCGGAAGGGGCCCCCCCAGGAAUGGGGGGCUGCGGCUUAAUUGACUCAACACGGGGAAACUUACCAGGUCCAACAUAGUCAGGAUGGACAGAUGGAAGCUCUUUCUUGAUUCUAUGGGUGGUGUGCAUGGCCGUUCUUAGUUGGUGGAGUGAUUUGUCUGGUUAUUCCGUUAACGAACGAGACCUCAGCCUGCCAACUAGCGAUGCCAUUUUUAAUCGGCUAGCCCGCUUCUUAGAGGGACUAUUCGUGUUCAACGAAUGGAAGUUUGAGGCAAUAACAGGUCUGUGAUGCCCUUAGAUGUUCUGGGCCGCACGCGCCUACACUGAUGGAUGCAACGAGCUCUACCCUUGACCGAAAGGCCCGGGUAAACUUGUCAAAAUCCAUCGUGAUGGGGAUAGAUUAUUGCAAUUCUUGAUCUUCAACGAGGAAUUCCUAGUAAGCGCGAGUCAUCAGCUCGCGUUGAUUACGUCCCUGCCCUUUGUACACACCGCCCCGUCGCUCCUACCGAUUGAAUGGUCCGGCGAAAUCUUCAGAUUGCUGGCGAGGCUAACCCCUCGCUGUGAGAAGUUGAUUAAACCUUAUCAUUUAGAGGAAGGAGAAGUCGUAACAAGGUUUCCGUAGGGGAACCUGCAGAAGGAUCAAUCCAUAUGACUAGUAGAUCCUCUAGAGUCGACCUGCAGGCAUGCAACCAAACCCUAUAGUGAGUCGUAUUAAA
rnacentral:rRNA from 1 species